rnacentral:rRNA from 1 species
GACGAACGCUGGCGGCGUGCUUAACACAUGCAAGUCGAGCGGUAAGGCCCUUUCGGGGGUACACGAGCGGCGAACGGGUGAGUAACACGUGGGUGACCUGCCCUCAGCUCGUGGGAUAAGCCGUAGGGAAACCGGGUCUAAUACCGGAUAUGACUCCAUGACGCAUGUUGUGGGGGUGGAAAGCCUUGUGCGGCUGAGGAUGGGCCCGCGGCCUAUCAGCUUGUUGGUGGGGUGAUGGCCCACCAAGGCGACGACGGGUAGCCGGCCUGAGAGGGCGACCGGCCACACUGGGGACUGAGACACGGCCCAGACUCCUACGGGAGGCAGCAGUGGGGAAUCUUGCGCAAUGGGCG